rnacentral:sRNA from 1 species
GCUGGGUGCAGUGGUGCACCCCUGUAAUCCCAGCAGCUCAGGAGGCUGAGGCAGGAGGAUCGCAAGUUCAAAGCCAGCCUCAGCAAAAGUGAGGUGCUAAGCAACUCAGUGAGACCCUGUCUCUA